AGAGUUUGAUCCUGGCUCAGGAUAAACGCUGGCGGCGUGCCUAACACAUGCAAGUCGAACGACCUCGCGAAAGCGAGGGAGUGGCGGACGGGUGAGUAGCACGUGGGUAUCUACCCUGGGGUGAGGAAUACCGGCGAGAAAUCGCCGACAAGACCGCAUAAGGUCGAGGGAAGCCUCGAGCAAAGGAGAAAUCCGCCCUG
rnacentral:rRNA from 1 species